UACGUAGGGUGCGAGCGUUAAUCGGAAUUACUGGGCGUAAAGCGUGCGCAGGCGGUUUUGUAAGCCGGAUGUGAAAUCCCCGGGCUUAACCUGGGAAUGGCAUUCGGGACUGCAAGGCUGGAGUGCGGCAGAGGAGACUGGAAUUCCUGGUGUAGCAGUGGAAUGCGUAGAGAUCCGGAAGAACACCGGUGGCGAAGGCGGCCUGCUGGGCAGUUGCUGACACUGAGGCGCGGACAGCGUGGGGAGCAAACAGG
rnacentral:rRNA from 1 species